GAUGAACGCUGGCGGCGUGCCUAAUACAUGCAAGUCGAGCGAACAGAUGAGGAACUUGCUCCUCUGACGUUAGCGGCGGACGGGUGAGUAACACGUGGAUAACCUACCUAUAAGACUGGGAUAACUUCGGGAAACCGGAGCUAAUACCGGAUAAUAUAUUGAACCGCAUGGUUCAAUAGUGAAAGACGGUUUUGCUGUCACUUAUAGAUGGAUCCGCGCCGCAUUAGCUAGUUGGUAAGGUAACGGCUUACCAAGGCAACGAUGCGUAGCCGACCUGAGAGGGAGAUCGGCCACACUGGAAGUGAGACACGGUCCAGACUCCGACGGGAGGCAGCAGUAGGGAAUCUUCCGCAAUGGGCGAAAGCCUGACGGAGCAACGCCGCGUGAGUGAUGAAGGUCUUCGGAUCGUAAAACGCUGUUAUUAGGGAAGAACAAAUGAGUAAGUAACUAGGCACGUCAUGACGGUACCUAAUCAGAAAGCCACGGCUAACUACGUG
rnacentral:rRNA from 1 species